AUGACUUUUGACUAAAAGAAAGAAAGUUUUAAAUGGAAGCUUUAACUGUACAAGUUUGGCCUCACAGUUUUAUUAGGGGGGCACAAUCAUCCAUUUUUGGAUAGAUUUCUUCUAACAUCUGAAUGAUAUAAAGAGAGCCUUUGAGAACCUGGUUAAUCACAGAAGUGUAUAUUUCACCGGAAGGCUGAUCCUUACCAGUUAUUGAAUGUCCUGAGCUGCCUUCAGAAAACGUUACUGUGGAGCAAGGACUGAACAGAAUCAGUGAAAUUUAUUGAGAACGAUGAUUAUCCAGGUUAGUAUAUAUAUGAUUGACUAACUUAGGCAAAAGACAGUCAAGAAACUGGGAAUGCUUGCUCUUCUGGUUUUUGUUAUGAUGGACAAGGUAUUCCAUAUUAACACUCCUGAUGACAAGUACUAGGCAGCCCUAGUCACCAGUUAGAUCAUCUAGCAGUUUGUAGUUUUAGAGCUUCUAAGUUGAUAUUAGAACUUCUAAGUUUGACUUCUGUCUUUUCUAGUCAUACAGUCACACAUUCUGUGACUGUGUCUGAUUUACACUGGAUAUUUUCACACCCCAUUGCCCAUGACAUUUGCUUUUGUACUCGCUGAUUGCUUUGCAUAAGCCCCUCUAGGCCAAGGCCAGCUGCCCAGGUUUUAUAAACCAGACUUUUGCAAUGUGAAUUGCGCUGCACCAGGCAGGCAGGGAAGGCAAGAUGGUGUCACAGACCCAAGUCCUCUGGUUCCUGUUGCUCUGGGUCUCUGAUGCCUGUGGGGACAUCGUGAUGACCCAGUCCCUGAGGUCCCUGGUCGCAUCUGCAGGAGAGAGGGUCACCAUCAACUGCAAGUCCAGCCAGAGUCUUUUAUCCAACAAUAAGAACUACUUAGCCUGGCACCAGCAGAAACCAGGACAGGCUCCUAAGCUGCUCAUCUCCUGGGCAUCCACUCGAGCAUCUGGGGUCCCCGACCGAUUCAGUGGCAGUGGGUCUGGGACAGACUUCACUCUCACCAUCAGCAGCCUCCAGGCUGAAGAUGUGGCAGUUUACUACUGUCAGCAGUAUCAUAGUGCUCCUCUCACAGUGCGUCAGACUCGAGCACAAACCUCCUCCCCGGGCCACAGAUCAGUGAGUCUUUGCUGCAGAGGAUGCUUCCUCCUCGCCCAGGCCUGCCCAUGCAUGCUUCUUCCACCUGCCUGCGAAGUCCCAUCUCU